UACGCUAUAUAUUGCUUCCUCCUUGACACCUAGUCUCACGUUAGGAUUAUCACCUGCCAGGUUUUCUAAGAGAGGUGCAGCUGUAUCUAUCACCAGUGAAAAAUUUAACCGGAGGUGAGAAUGAUGGAGAGUGCCCAGGAGGAUGGCCCAGCAACAGUAGACAGAUGUUCCAUUUGUGAGAGUCCCAGUGCUCACGGGUGGAUUAAGACUUUCACCUGAGCUGUUAUUUGAUUACCCAAAA